CUCCACCCCUGAGUCUCUCAGGCUCUGCCUUUGCGUGGCUCUUUGGGUCUGUGACUCUCCAUCUGUUUUGCUCUACAAAUCGCCCGUUCUUGGUCUCUGGCCUCUCCCUGGACAGUUGAGUGACACCCCACACCCAGCCCCACCAGAUUUACAGAAAAGUUGUAAAGAGAGAGCAAAUACCUUGUAUUGAAGUGGAAAAAACAAAAGACAAAGCAGAGACCCACAGUUUCAAAGCUUGGCAGAGACUGACAGUCUCACGGCUGACAGGCUAAGGCCUGCCCCUCCUGCUAAAUUCACAAAGGUCACUGUGCCCAGAAGAUGAACUACUGAAACACAGCUGCCUGCCUCCCGAUGUCUUACAGAUAAACUGUAAAAGCAACAUUACCGCCGCCUCCCUACCCUUUGUUAAGUUCUGCUUCUGUAAAAUUCUGCUUGUUCCCCUGCCCUGCCUAAAGAGCAAGAUAAAAAUGAAAACAAACUUAGAAACGGGGCUCAGACUCUGGGAGGUGACUUCUGGUGGCCCCACUGGGGAAUCUGCCUGGCUUUCUUUCCCUUCAGUUCUCUGGGUGCUGCUCUCUUCCUUGGUCUGCCUGCUUCCGAGUGCCAUCUCAGUAUAACCACGGCUUUUUAAAUUUUGAAGAGUACUGCUUAGAUACAUUGCAGAAUGUAUCAUGAUUUGGGUUUUGCCUACUGUUAUCUCAGGAACAGACAAGGUUAAGGGUUUUUGUGAUGAAUAUGGCAGAGCUUCUGCAGGUGCAGCUGAGAGAUUCCAAGAGUCACAUGCUCAAUCUUGUCAAAG
rnacentral:lncRNA from 1 species